rnacentral:rRNA from 1 species
CCAGACUCCUACGGGAGGCAGCAGUGAGGAAUAUUGGUCAAUGGGCGGAAGCCUGAACCAGCCAAGUCGCGUGAGGGAAUAAGGCCCUACGGGUCGUAAACCUCUUUUGCCGGGGAGCAAGGGCGGGGACGUGUCCCGGCCCGGAGAGUACCCGGAGAAAAAGCAUCGGCUAACUCCGUGCCAGCAGCCGCGGUAAUACGGAGGAUGCGAGCGUUAUCCGGAUUUAUUGGGUUUAAAGGGUGCGUAGGCGGGCUUUUAAGUCAGCGGUAAAAAUUCGGGGCUCAACCCCGUCCGGCCGUUGAAACUGGCAGUCUCGAGUUGGAGAGAAGUAUGCGGAAUGCGCGGUGUAGCGGUGAAAUGCAUAGAUAUCGCGCAGAACUCCGAUUGCGAAGGCAGCAUGCCGGCUCCACACUGACGCUGAGGCACGAAAGCGUGGGUAUCGAACAGGAUUAGAUACCCCCGUA